CCAGACAAUUCCAAAACAGGAGGUGACAAUCCACCAGGACGUGGCAGCCUCAGAAGCUCCCUUCCUUACCUCCCAAGAGUUAACUGAUGCCCACCAAGUCAGCUUGAAGCAGUUCUCAGGAGACACAGCACCCCUAUUCCUGUUCACCCGCCUUUAAAAAAAAAAUAAUAAACAAAGAGUCUGGAAUGUUGG